UCCGCUAUGUUGAGGUCUGCAAGG
rnacentral:piRNA from 1 species